UACGUAGGGUGCGAGCGUUAAUCGGAAUUACUGGGCGUAAAGCGUGCGUAGGCGGUUCGUUAAGUUCGUUGUGAAAGCCCCGGGCUCAACCUGGGAACUGCAAUGGAAACUGGCGGCUUGAGUGUGGCAGAGGGGGUGGAAUUCCGCGUGUAGCAGUGAAAUGCGUAGAGAUGCGGAGGAACACCGAUGGCGAAGGCAGCCCCCUGGGCCAACACUGACGCUCAGGCACGAAGCGUGGGGAGCAACAGG
rnacentral:rRNA from 1 species